rnacentral:rRNA from 1 species
CAAGACAACUUUACGGAGUUGACGAUUGACGGAGCGAAGCGACGUCAAAGCGUUCAUUAAAGUCGAGUUGGCUUAGGGAUACGUUCGUUGGGUAGGGGAGCGUUCUGUAAGCCUGUGAAGGUGUGUCGUGAGGCAUGCUGGAGGUAUCAGAAGUGCGAAUGCUGACAUAAGUAACGAUAAAGCGGGUGAAAAGCCCGCUCGCCGGAAGACCAAGGGUUCCUGUCCAACGUUAAUCGGGGCAGGGUGAGUCGACCCCUAAGGCGAGGCCGAAAGGCGUAGUCGAUGGGAAACGGGUUAAUAUUCCCGUACUUGGUGUUACUGCGAAGGGGGGACGGAGAAGGCUAUGUUGGCCGGGCGACGGUUGUCCCGGUUUAAGCGUGUAGGUGUGUGUUCCAGGUAAAUCCGGUUCACUUUAACACUGAGGCGUGACGACGAGGCACUACGGUGCUGAAGCAACAAAUGCCCUGCUUCCAGGAAAAGCCUCUAAGCAUCAGGUAACACGAAAUCGUACCCCAAACCGACACAGGUGGUCAGGUAGAGAAUACCAAGGCGCUUGAGAGAACUCGGGUGAAGGAACUAGGCAAAAUGGUGCCGUAACUUCGGGAGAAGGCACGCUGACACGUAGGUGAAGUGAUUUACUCAUGGAGCUGAAGUCAGUCGAAGAUACCAGCUGGCUGCAACUGUUUAUUAAAAACACAGCACUGUGCAAACACGAAAGUGGACGUAUACGGUGUGACGCCUGCCCGGUGCCGGAAGGUUAAUUGAUGGGGUCAGCGCAAGCGAAGCUCCUGAUCGAAGCCCCGGUAAACGGCGGCCGUAACUAUAACGGUCCUAAGGUAGCGAAAUUCCUUGUCGGGUAAGUUCCGACCUGCACGAAUGGCGUAAUGAUGGCCAGGCUGUCUCCACCCGAGACUCAGUGAAAUUGAACUCGCUGUGAAGAUGCAGUGUACCCGCGGCAAGACGGAAAGACCCCGUGAACCUUUACUAUAGCUUGACACUGAACAUUGAGCCUUGAUGUGUAGGAUAGGUGGGAGGCUUUGAAGUGUGGACGCCAGUCUGCAUGGAGCCGACCUUGAAAUACCACCCUUUAAUGUUUGAUGUUCUAACGUGGACCCGUAAUCCGGGUUGCGGACAGUGUCUGGUGGGUAGUUUGACUGGGGCGGUCUCCUCCUAAAGAGUAACGGAGGAGCACGAAGGUUGGCUAAUCCUGGUCGGACAUCAGGAGGUUAGUGCAAUGGCAUAAGCCAGCUUGACUGCGAGCGUGACGGCGCGAGCAGGUGCGAAAGCAGGUCAUAGUGAUCCGGUGGUUCUGAAUGGAAGGGCCAUCGCUCAACGGAUAAAAGGUACUCCGGGGAUAACAGGCUGAUACCGCCCAAGAGUUCAUAUCGACGGCGGUGUUUGGCACCUCGAUGUCGGCUCAUCACAUCCUGGGGCUGAAGUAGGUCCCAAGGGUAUGGCUGUUCGCCAUUUAAAGUGGUACGCGAGCUGGGUUUAGAACGUCGUGAGACAGUUCGGUCCCUAUCUGCCGUGGGCGCUGGAGAACUGAGGGGGGCUGCUCCUAGUACGAGAGGACCGGAGUGGACGCAUCACUGGUGUUCGGGUUGUCAUGCCAAUGGCACUGCCCGGUAGCUAAAUGCGGAAGAGAUAAGUGCUGAAAGCAUCUAAGCACGAAACUUGCCCCGAG